UUUCCUCAUGGUACCCACUUGCUUUCCAUGGCUCACGAAGACUAGAAGGAAUACUCCGGUUGGAACUUUAUUGAAGCUGAUGUUAAACACAUCCUAAUGAUUGAUUCUGUACUUAGUUUGAAAUGUUUCGUCGACUGGUAAUAUUACUUUUUGAAGUUUUUGUCCGAUAUAACGUUGACCAGAAUUAGCGUUUGGAUAUGUAUACCAAACACUCUUAACAAAAUAUGAUAUUUGAACAUAAAUAACGGACAUUUUUUAACAAAACAAACAUUUAUUAUGGACCUGGAAUUCCUGGAGUGCUUUCUGAUGUAGAUCAUCAAAGGAAUUGAGACUCCGGCAGCUCUGGAGUGAAAGGCGAUUCCGGCAGCACCGGACGGCUCUGGCAGCUCCUGACUGACGGGAGACUCUGGCAGCUCAGGACAGGCGGGAGUCUCUGGCAGCUCAGGACCGGCGGGAGACUCUGGCAGCACAAGACGGACGGGAGAUUCCGGCAGCACCAGACAGGCGGGAGAUUCCGGCAGCUCUGGAGUGAAAGGCGAUUCCGGCAGCACCGGACAGCUCUGGCAGCUCCUGACUGACGGGCGGCUCUGGCAGCUCCUGACUGGCGGGCAGCUCUGACAGCUCCUGACUGGCGGGCGGCUCUGGCAGCUCCUGACUGGCGGGCGGCUCUGGCAGCUCCUGACAGGCGGGAGACUCUGGCAGCUCAGGACAGGCGGGAGACUCUGGCAGCUCAGGACAGGCGGGAGACUCUGGCAGCUCAGGACAGGCGGGAGACUCUGGCAGCUCAGGACCGGCGGGAGACUGUGGCAGCUCAGGACAGGUGGGAGACUCUGGCAGCUCAGGACAGAUGGGAGACUCUGGCAGUGCUGGACAGGCGGGAGCACCUGUAGUGCUUUCGCUGCCUCCAGCUCUGCCCUGGGGAGGCGAUAUUCUCCCAGCUGUACCCAGGGUCCCUUGCCAUCCAAGAUAUCCUCCCAAGUCCAGGAGUCUUGAACCCGCUGCUCCUGAGUACCAUGCUGCUUGGUCCGGUUGUGGUGGGUGAUUCUGUAACGGCCGUUGUUGGUGGUGGAAGAAGAGGAGGACCAAUGCACAGCAUUGAUUUAAUAGAAUAAAUGAACACUCAACAGAAAACAAUAAAGCGACAACGAACGAAACAAAACAGUCCUGCACGGUGAAUACACAGAACAGAAAAUAAUCACCCACAACUCAAGGGUAAAAACAGGCUACCUAAGUAUGGUUCUCAAUCAGGGACAACGAUUGACAUCUGCCUCUGGUUGAGAACCAUACCAGGCCAAACACAGAAAUCCCAAAUCAUAGAAAAAAAGAACAUAGACUGCCCACCCCAACUCACGCCCUGACCAUACUAAAACAAAGACAAAACAAAGGAACUAAGGUCAGAACGU
ensembl:lncRNA